GAUGAACGCUAGCGGCAGGCUUAAUACAUGCAAGUCGAACGGUAAGUUUGGUAGCAAUAUCAAACCAAGAGUGACGUACGGGUGCGUAACACGUAUGCAACCUACCUUGUACAGGAGUAUAGCUCGGGGAAACUCGAAUUAACCCUCCAUGAGAUCAUAGAAUGGCAUCAUUUAGUGAUUAAAACUCAGGUGGUACAAGAUGGGCAUGCGUCUGAUUAGUUAGNGGUCGGGGUAAUGGCCCACCAAGACGAUGAUCAGUAGGGGACCUGAGAGGGUGAUCCCCCACACUGGCACUG
rnacentral:rRNA from 1 species